UUACACUUACAUAUUGCGAACUAUCGAUAAAGUAAAUUAAUCAGUUACUCAAUUUUAAAUAUCGAAAAUUUUUGCUUAUAAUAUAUUUCCUGUCAUUUUUUGUCAUUGUAUUAAAAAUACGAACGGCGUAAUUUUCAAAAGUUAAAUAAGUUAAGAAACGUUAUCACUAUUAACAAAUCAUAAACGUGAUGAUUUGAUAACAUUUUAUUAAAUUUCAGUGCAGUUGUACACUUUUAUUAUAUAUUUCGAAUAGAGAUUUUUUAUGUAAUUUUAAUAGUAUACAUGAGAUAUAUUUUUAUUAAAAAUGCCACGACAAAGAAUUUAUUUAGUCGGUUCGUUGAAUAAUCAAAUAUUAGGGAGUAAGUUACCUUCUUUAAAAGAUUGUUUACAAGUCUUAUUUUUUAAUUUACGUGUUAUAAAUCUUAAUUUAUCGGAAAGCUCUAACUUGGUGAUAGACGAAUGUCUCAUUUACUGGAGAAAUGCCCGAAUUCUAACAAAGCAUAAAGCCGAUUGUGUAAAAAAGCUGAAAUAAUAUUAUGAAGCUUGGCGAGAUAUAGAAAAAUCAAAGGACAGAAUUAAUGAAAAACGCCUAAAUAAGUUGAAAUCAUUUCAAGAAGACUUAGAUAAUCUUUUUGACAUUACUCACAUAAAUGCUUUAGAAAUUAUAAAAGUUGAAGAAGACAAAAAGUUUUUAAUUUUACAACGACAGCCAGGUCAUCCUGGUUGUAUGCUAGGAAUUGAUAAAAAAUUAUCAGAUAAAAAAAAAAGAAGAGCCGACAGAAUUGAAUCGAAAGUAACAAAAAGACUUAAGUUUGAUACUGCCUCUAAAGAAAUAGAUUCAGAUAGACAAAUAAAUUUGUAUAAAUAUUACGCGUAUUUAUAUAAUUACUUCAACAUACCUCAAUGUAAAUGUUUUUCAGCUGCUAGUUUAGAAUAUUUAAGUUCAGAAGAAUCAAAAAUUUGGAACACUGAUGUAUAUGAAAACUCUCAACCGGGCCCUUCAGAUAAAAGGCUUAAAAAAAACAUUAAAAUCUGUUAAGUCUCCUCGACUUUGUGUUGCAUUGGACAAGUGUAAAGUCAGUGAUCGGGACGCUGUGCACUUACUUAUAGCAUUUAUUGAGAGUAUUGAUUUGGAUCCAUCUGAUUAUAUUUUAAAUAGAACGUCAAUAAGACGAGCACGACAAUGUUUUCACGAGAAUUGUGCAAAAAAUGUGUCAGACUUGAACGUAGACUUCGUUAAUAUGCAUUGGGAAAUUGCUUCCAGAACUGACUGGUGAAGAAAAAGUUGAUCGCCUUCCUAUUAUUGUUUCAACUCCUAAUGUUGAGCAACUUCUUGGUGUGCCACAAAUCCCAUCUGGUACAGGAGUAGAAAUGUAAUCAAGAUUAUUUGAUACUCUAGAAAAGUAGGAGCUUACUAAUAAAGAUCAAGGCUUUGUAUUUGAUACGAUAGCUUCCAAUACAGGAAGACUUCAUGGCGCUUGUACUUUAUUGGAACAAUGUUUAGGGAAAAAAAUGCUGUAUUUUGCAUGUCACCAUCAUAUUUUUGAUUCAAUACUUCAGUCUGCAAUUAAUGUAGCUAAAUUACACGUGUCGUCUGGGUCAGACAUUGCAAUUUUUAAACGAUUUAAAAAUGCAUGGGUGGGAUUAAACAAAAACAAUAUAAGUUUGUGGAGUUCAAGUAAUUAUAUGCAACGCAUUUUAUCUACUGUUCAUGAAGAACUAUUAUUGUUUUGUUCAAAAACAGUUACAGUAAAACAAUCACGAGAUGACUACAAAGAAUUCAUUGAAUUAGUGAUUAUUUUACUCGGCGGAACUCCACCUGGUAGGCUAAAUAUAAGAUGACCAGAUGCUUACCAUCAGGCUAGGUGGAUGGCGAAAGGAAUAUAUUGUUUAAAAAUAUUUUUAUUACGGCUAGAGUUCAAACUUACAAAAAUAGAAGAGCAUGCGCUAGAAAUAAUUUGUACAUUCAUUAUAAAAGUAUACAUAAAAUCUUGGGUUACAUCUUUCACAACAAGCGAGGCUCCCAUGAAUGACGUUAACUUAAUACGAACUUUAUAUGCCUACACAAAUGACGACAAAGAGAUUGCAAAUGCAUUACUCUCGAAAUUUUUAAAUCAUUUGUGGUAUUUAAAUGACGAGUGUAUUGCGUUUUCUAUUUUCGAUACAAGACUACCCACAGAAAUAAAAAAAGAUAUUGUGGCCAAGAUUAAUGAUUUGAGUUUGAAAAAAAAACUAGAAGAAGACGACGAAUGAAAUUCAAAGAAAUUGUCACUUAAAAUUGAAAAAGUAUCCGAAUUUUUAGCAACAAAUUUGCCAACUUCAUUAUUCACUAAACAGUCCUUAAACAUAUUCAAAAGAUAUGGUAUUAACAAAAUUUUUUUAGAUAUAGACCCAGCUGACUGGGUAAAAGACUCCUUCUAUAUAUUAGGAAAAAAACUUGUUGAUGGACUAAAAUCGUCAAUGACAGUGCUGAGAGAGGUGUUAAACUCAUGGUAGAUUACAACAAAAAACACACCAAAUAUGAAAAUCAAAAACAAUUCUUAUUACAAGUAGUUCAAAAAUACAGAAAAACGUAUCCUGAGUAUACAAAACAGGCUCUAGAAACUAUGUUCAAAAUAUAAUUAAUUUGAUACUUCAUUUAAGUUUUUAAUUGAAAAUAAAUUUAUACUUAAUUAUUUUUUUUUAAUCGAUA